rnacentral:rRNA from 1 species
UACGUAGGGUGCGAGCGUUGUCCGGAAUUACUGGGCGUAAAGAGCUCGUAGGUGGUUUGUCGCGUUGUUCGUGAAAACUCACAACUCAAUUGUGGGCGUGCGGGCGAUACGGGCAGACUGGAGUACUGCAGGGGAGACUGGAAUUCCUGGUGUAGCGGUGAAAUGCGCAGAUAUCAGGAGGAACACCGGUGGCGAAGGCGGGUCUCUGGGCCGAUGACUGACGCUGAGGAGCGAAAGCGUGGGGAGCGAACAGG